CUACGGGGUGCAGCAGUGAGGAAUAUUGCGCAAUGGACGAAAGUCUGACGCAGCCAUGCCGCGUGCAGGAUGACGGCGCUAUGCGUUGUAAACUGCUUUUAUAUGCCAAGAAACCUUCGGACGUGUCCGAAGCUGACGGUAGCAUAUGAAUAAGCACCGGCUAACUCCGUGCCAGCGGCCGCGGUAAUACGGAGGGUGCAAGCGUUAUCCGGAUUUAUUGGGUUUAAAGGGUCCGUAGGCGGAUCAUUAAGUCAGUGGUGAAAGCCGGCAGCUCAACUGUCGAACUGCCAUUGAUACUGGUGAUCUUGAAUACGGUUGAAGUUGGCGGAAUAGGUCAUGUAGCGGUGAAAUGCUUAGAUAUGACCUAGAACACCGAUUGCGAAGGCAGCCAACUAAGCCGUUAUUGACGCUGAGGGACGAAAGCGUGGGGAGCGAACAGGAUUAGAUACCCGAGUAGUC
rnacentral:rRNA from 1 species